UACGGAGGGUGCAAGCGUUAUCCGGAUUCACUGGGUUUAAAGGGUGCGUAGGCGGGCAGGUAAGUCCGUGGUGAAAUCUCUGAGCUUAACUCAGAAACUGCCAUGGAUACUAUUUGUCUUGAAUAUUGUGGAGGUAAGCGGAAUAUGUCAUGUAGCGGUGAAAUGCUUAGAUAUGACAUAGAACACCAAUUGCGAAGGCAGCUUACUACACAGUUAUUGACGCUGAGGCACGAAAAGCGUGGGGGAUCAAA
rnacentral:rRNA from 1 species